rnacentral:tRNA from 1 species
GAGAGGUACCGAAGCGGUCAUAACGGCGCUGACUCGAAAUCAGAUGGUUAGGGUAACCUGGUACAUGGGUUCGAAUCCCAUCCUCGCCA